CCUACGGGGGGCAGCAGCGGGGAAUAUUGCACAAUGGGCGCAAGCCUGAUGCAGCCAUGCCGCGUGUAUGAAGAAGGCCUUCGGGUUAUAAAGUACUUUCAGCGAGGAGGAAGGCGUUAAGGUUAAUAACCUUGGCGAUUGACGUUACUCGCAGAAGAAGCACCGGCUAACUCCGUGCCAGCAGCCGCGGUAAUACGGAGGGUGCAAGCGUUAAUCGGAAUUACUGGGCGUAAAGCGCACGCAGGCGGUUUGUUAAGUCGGAUGUGAAAUCCCCGGGCUCAACCUGGGAACUGCAUUCGAAACUGGCAAGCUUGAGCCUUGUAGAGGGGGGUAGAAUUCCAGGUGUAGCGGUGAAAUGCGUAGAGAUCUGGAGGAAUACCGGUGGUGAAGGCGGCCCCCUGGACAAAGACUGACGCUCAGGUGCGAAAGCGUGGGGAGCAAACAGGAUUAGAUACCCCGGUAGUC
rnacentral:rRNA from 1 species